rnacentral:snoRNA from 1 species
AUGGCAGUGAUGAUUGGCGCAGGGGUACGGACCUCAGCUAGAUCAUGGGAGCUGAAUGCAAACUGUUUAUUUCAGUGCAGCUGGCGUGUGGCUGGCUCACUGGAAACAGGUUUGCAUGAGACUUUGCCAAAAACUGAGCCAU